rnacentral:rRNA from 1 species
UCAGGAUAUGCCUAGGUGGGAUUAGCUAGUUGGUGAGGUAAGGGCUCACCAAGGCGACGAUCCCUAGCUGGUCUGAGAGGAUGAUCAGCCACACUGGAACUGAGACACGGUCCAGACUCCUACGGGAGGCAGCAGUGGGGAAUAUUGCACAAUGGGCGCAAGCCUGAUGCAGCCAUGCCGCGUGUGUGAAGAAGGCCUUCGGGUUGUAAAGCACUUUCAG